rnacentral:rRNA from 1 species
GGGAGUGGGCUGCACCAGAAGUAGAUAGCUUAACCUUCGGGAGGGCGUUUACCACGGUGUGGUUCAUGACUGGGGUGAAGUCGUAACAAGGUAGCCCUAGGGGARCCUGGGGCUGGAUCACCUCCUUACUGA